CAUAAUCAAACCAAAAAUUCCAAGUGCAUUCCAAUCCAGAUUUAAAAAUUCAAAUUCCAAGUGUAUUACACGUAAAUCAGAAAGGGCAGCACAAUGAAAUUGAAGCAAAAAGAUAAAAAGUUGAACCCGAAAUCGCCGCUCCCUUUCAUGGCAGAAUCAUCGCCGACCACCACCGCCAACGUCGUCGGCGAGCUUGAGCAGCGGUGCUUCUCUGAUUUUCUCACCACGAGCUUGGCAGAAUAGUGAAAAAUGAUUCUUUUUCAUGACCCACAAACACCAAAUCCAAACGAGAGAGAGAGAGAGAGAGAGAGAGCGACCGCCCACCACCGCCGUUCUUCCCCGACGCAGAUCCGACGAGCAAUCGUGGCUGUCCCCCACCCGCUUUCCGCCUCAGCACCUUCAAUUCAAACAUACAAAAUAUUAACUCCUUCAAAAAACAUUGGUAUUAAUGCACUUAAUUGUCCACCACCAUUUAAUCUAUCACAUUAAACAUACAAAAUAUUAACUCCUUCAAAAAAUUGCAAAAAGUUCGGAGAAUGGAGGGAAUACUUUACUAGUACAAUUUUUCCCCUAAGAAGGGGCAGAGGAAACGUG
rnacentral:lncRNA from 1 species